rnacentral:rRNA from 1 species
CCCUAACUCUUUCUUCAUGCCUAACACAUGCAAGUCGAACGAGACCUUCGGGUCUAGUGGCGCACGGGUGCGUAACGCGUGGGAACCUGCCCUUAGGUUCGGAAUAACUCCCCGAAAGGGGUGCUAAUACCGGAUAAUGUCUUCGGACCAAAGAUUUAUCGCCUUUGGAUGGGCCCGCGUUGGAUUAGCUAGUUGGUAGGGUAAAAGCCUACCAAGGCGGCGAUCCAUAGCUGGUCUGAGAGGAUGAUCAGCCACACUGGGACUGAGACACGGCCCAGACUCCUACGGGAGGCAGCAGUGGGGAAUAUUGGACAAUGGGCGAAAGCCUGAUCCAGCAAUGCCGCGUGAGUGAUGAAGGCCUUAGGGUUGUAAAGCUCUUUUACCCGGGAUGAUAAUGACAGUACCGGGAGAAUAAGCUCCGGCUAACUCCGUG